rnacentral:rRNA from 1 species
UACGUAGGGUGCAAGCGUUAAUCGGAAUUACUGGGCGUAAAGCGCGCGUAGGUGGUUUGUUAAGUUGGAUGUGAAAUCCCCGGGCUCAACCUGGGAACUGCAUCCAAAACUGGCAAGCUAGAGUAUGGUAGAGGGUGGUGGAAUUUCCUGUGUAGCGGUGAAAUGCGUAGAUAUAGGAAGGAACACCAGUGGCGAAGGCGACCACCUGGACUGAUACUGACACUGAGGUGCGAAAGCGUGGGGAGCAAACAGG